rnacentral:rRNA from 1 species
UUGAACGCUGGCGGCAGGCCUAACACAUGCAAGUCGAGCGGAUGAAGGGAGCUUGCUCCUGGGUUCAGCGGCGGACGGGUGAGUAAUGCCUAGGAAUCUGCCUAGUAGUGGGGGAUAACGUCCGGAAACGGGCGCUAAUACCGCAUACGUCCUGAGGGAGAAAGUGGGGGAUCUUCGGACCUCACGCUAUCAGAUGAGCCUAGGUCGGAUUAGCUAGUUGGUGGGGUAAAGGCCUACCAAGGCGACGAUCCGUAACUGGUCUGAGAGGAUGAUCAGUCACACUGGAACUGAGACACGGUCCAGACUCCUACGGGAGGCAGCAGUGGGGAAUAUUGGACAAUGGGCGAAAGCCUGAUCCAGCCAUGCCGCGUGUGUGAAGAAGGUCUUCGGAUUGUAAAGCACUUUAAGUUGGGAGGAAGGGCAGUAAGUUAAUACCUUGCUGUUUUGACGUUACCAACAGAAUAAGCACCGGCUAACUUCGUG